rnacentral:lncRNA from 1 species
CACAGGAGCAAGGUGAAUAGAGACCACGCAUCCUCCACAGCAUGGGGAACGCCCUGCUGGCUCGACCUCCUCACUUGCUCUCUCAAGUCUGCUGAAAGAAGAGCCACCAGAGAAUUCCCAACAAGAGCCCCUCUGGCAUGCGGGCAGUGUUUCUGAUCUCAAAGCCAUCUUUCCACAUAGUUCCUCCCUUCCUGCCCACCCCCAUCAGGAGUUGUUUAUUUCUCAGAACUAAAUGCCACGAUCCUUCUCAGCUACCUUGGCAGCAUUCUGUCAGAAACCAGUCAACAAACAGAGCAGGGAAAAACAGCACCCCGAAGACAGCAUUCAGGACCCAGCCCUUUAGACAAAAGGGAUCAGAUCAGGUCUACUAGAUGGCCUCAUUCAGUCAGACACACCCAGUUAAGCAGCCCUGGAAAGGGACUCUAGAGAAUGCUAGAAGUACUGUGAAGCUCGCAGAUGGCCUUGUGGACUUUAGCACUUCAGGUGAGAAGACAACAGUCUCCCAGCAAAAUGUUGCAAGCAGCACAGGCUCAGGAAUGGACAGACUGGCAGGCAAGACACAGCAAGAAGGCAGCAGUCUGCACACCAGGAGGAGAGUCCUCACCACAACUCAGCCCUGCCACACCCUGAUCCUGGACUUUCAGCCUCCAGAGCUGUGAGAAAUAAAUGCCUGCUGUUUCAGCAGCUCAGUCUAUGGUAUUUUGUUGUGGCAGCCUGGGCUAAGAGUGAAAAGGGACAGUUCCAGGCAGAGGGAACAAUCCCUACAAAGGCUGAAAAUGAAGACAGAGAUAGUAAGCCACAGCGGGAUAAAAGAUGAGGGACACACUGGGAUGAGAAAGUGGGGCUCUUAGAGACCCGGCCUGAGUGUUGGACUCAGCCCCUCCUGAGGGCACCAGAGGCCACAGAGGUGCCUGAGAGAAGAGCUCAACCAGAUCUGCACAUGAGGAAGACGGCUCAGGCUGCAGUGUGGAAACUGGGUGAGAACAGGAGGGAGGCCGAGGCAGAGCCUUCAGUCCAGCCAGGUGGGAGGUGAGACCCCUGGAUGAGGAGUGCGGCCAUCAGAGGGAUGUCAGGGACACAUACAAAAGCUGCUUAGGAAGUAGAAGAGACUGACUUUGGUGAAAGUUGGGGAGGAAGAGGCCAGCGUCAUGCUCAGAUGUCUGGCUUUUGCACUUGGAUGGAAGAGGGGUUUCUAAUCUCUCCCGAGUGGGGCUGCCCUCCAGGCUGGGUCUCCCAUGUGGCAGGGAUUCUGUCAUACAUGAUUGGAUACAGUCCCCAUGACAAUGGCGUGUGCUGCAGUUACUCAUCUGAGACCACACAGGCGGCGAGUGAGUGAGGCAGCUGUUGUUUCAACCCACAUGUGACCUGCCCACGUCCACUCUGCAACACCCACAGGGCUAGACAUCUCAUCAGUUGCAGAAUCUUCUUGCCAGCCAUUGUCGCACCUGCUGUUCCCAAGCUAGUGAGCCCAUGAGCCCUCCCUGCCAACCUCCUCGUCACUACCAGCUCUAAGGUGGCUCACUGCCCACUCCUUGCAAAAACCUCUCUGACCCAGUGUGCUGAAAGUUAGUGUGAGCUGCUUGAAUGCAUGUGCUUGGUGCCAUUUGACAAGUAAUCUCACCUGCCUUGUCCUCUUGUCAUAGUGACUGUGUCCCAUCUUUCCUAAGAAAAUUGCCAGCUUCCUGAGACAGGACCAUACCCUUUAUAUCCCUAUACCUGCUGUGAAGACUCAGACUCCAAGCUCUCACCUCCUGCUGCUUUUCAAGAGAAAACAAGGACCAUGGGGCCAGGUGUAGUGGCUCAUGCCCGUAAUCCAGCACUUUGGGAGGCCGAGGAGGGUGGAUCACCUGAGGUCAGGAGUUCGAGGCCGGCCUGGCCAACAUGGUGAAAUCCCGUCUCUACUAAAAAUACAAAAAUUAGCCAGGCAUGGUGGUGGGCGCCUGUAAUCCCAGCUACUCUGGAGGCUGAGCAGGAGAAUCGCCUGAAUCCGGGAGGCAGAGGCUGCCGUGAGCCGAGAUUGCGCCAUUACACUCCAACAUGGGUGACAAGAGUGG